UUGGCUGAAGUCAUGCCAGUGGAUGGAUUUAGUGGAGAGGCCGACCCAGCUCAAGAUGGAAAGACAGCCAGAGAUGCGCUCGGGCGGUGGGGGUUCCUUGGGGAAGGCUGAGGUCAGGGGGAUGAUGGGGUCACAGCAGCUCAGAGGGGAGGCAAGCCCUGAAGGACAGUGGCUACAAGCGGGCCCUGCAGAGAAGCAAAAUGAGAUUUAAGAAGAGGCCUUGGAUUUGGCAUCAGGGGUUCAAGGGGGAGCUUUUAGGGAGCAGUGUGUAGGAGGGGAGGGGCUACUUCUAGGAGCAUGAAGUUUGAGUUUUGUGUUUUUCCAAAGGCUACUUCUUGGCCCUUUUUCUUUAUAGACUAGACCACCAGAGGAGGAUGUGUGGGAUUGUAGGCAAACCCACCUGUGGCAUCACUGAAAAUAAAUUUGGUCAUACCUAAGAGGUUAGGAAAUGGUGCCAUUCCCAACUUAAGAGUGCUACAUAGGUGCUUUGGGCGUAUGUAACAUUAGUGUCCUUCCUUGAAGCCACAAGCUAGUUUUCUUAGUUUUAAAAUCCUGUUGUAUGAAUGGCAUUUGUAUAUUAAAACACUUUU
rnacentral:sRNA from 1 species